rfam:Myotis lucifugus cont2.69317, whole genome shotgun sequence.
CUGUCUCUUCAACAGUGUUUGGACAGAACAG